rnacentral:misc_RNA from 1 species
GAUGAAGAACGUAGCGAAAUGCGAUAAGUAAUGUGAAUUGCAGAAUUCAGAGAAUCAUCGAAUCUUUGAACGCACAUUGCGCCCGCCAGUAUUCUGGCGGGCAUGCCUGUUCGAGCGUCAUUUCAACCAUCAAGCCCUGCUUGCGUUGGGGUCCUGCGGCUGCCCGCAGGCCCUGAAAACCAGUGGCGGGCUCGCUAGUCACACCGAGCGCAGUAAUACAUCUCGCUUUGGGCGUGCGGCGGGUUCUUGCCGUUAAACACCCCCUUUUUACCAAGGUUGACCUCGGAUCAGGUAGGAAUACCCGCUGAACUUAAGCAUAUCAAUAAGCGGAGGA